UACGUAGGGGCCUAGCGUUGUCCGGAAUUAUUGGGCGUAAAGAGCUCGUAGGCGGUUCGGCAAGUCGGAUGUGAAAUCUCCACGCUUAACGUGGAGGGGCCAUCCGAAACUGCUGUGACUCGAGUCCGGUAGGGGAGUGUGGAAUUCCCGGUGUAGCGGUGAAAUGCGCAGAUAUCGGGAGGAACACCAGUAGCGAAGGCGGCACUCUGGGCCGGUACUGACGCUGAGGAGCGAAAGCGUGGGGAGCGAACAGG
rnacentral:rRNA from 1 species